UGUUCCAGUCACCUGCCACCAGCAUUAGAGAACGAACACCUAAAUGCACAUACUUCAGACAGUGAUUCACUCAUCAUUGAGUCACCCACUGAGGAGAAUACUGACCAAGUGUUCAUCGAUUUAUCAGAUGAAAUAAAGACACGGAAUCCUUAAGUCAAUGGCGGAGGAUUCGUGAGGAGCAGGAUGAGGAAUAUUAUCAGUCUUUAAUUGCAGAUCAAGCCAAAGAACUUCAGAAGAUGAAUAGUGAAGAAUCUGAGAAUAGACGCAGAAAG